AGACUUAUAGUUUAAUGGUUAAAACAUACUGCUCAUAACGGUCAAAAUAAAGGUUCGAAUCCUUUUAAGUCUA
rnacentral:tRNA from 1 species